rnacentral:lncRNA from 1 species
GAGGAGCCUACACUCUACCCUAAAGCUGACACUCAGAGGGGAAAGCUGUGAAAGGUACUUGGAAAAGACUCUGAGGACGGAAUUAUUAAGAUGGCCAGCGUACUCCACUUAUGACACCUCUCUUCCGUUAUACUUGAACUCUCACCAGAAGAAAAUAUUUCUCAGGCUACUCUGGGACCAGGUCCACUUUCACUGCCAUGCAAUCACCAAUUUGCACUUAUCAACUGUAGAACUUCUGCGGCGCUAACUUUAAAAAGAUGGCCGCACUGGCCUACAAGAGGGGAAAGCAAAGCUAAGCCAAUCUCUCCACACUCACUCCAGCUCAGCCACCAAGGGCAGCAGCAACAGCUCUCUGAGGUCACAGGUGUCUGCUGCCUCUCUGCACCCUACCUUAGUGCACCCUACCUCAGUGCACCCUACCUCAGUGCGCCCUACCUCAGUGCACCCUUAGUGGCUUUGCCACUGGGUUUUCUUUAAAAUAAGGUUUUCUCAU